GGCCGCGGUACUUUGACCGUGCGAAGGUAGCACAAUAACGAGCCUCCUAAUUAGAGGAUAGAAUGAAUGAACCAACGAAAAAGACGCUGUCUCAUAUGUACACAAUGAAACUUAUAUAUGGGUGAAAAAGCCCAUGUUUCAAUUAAAGACAAGAAGACCCUAUAAGCUUUUUUAAACCUUAAUAUCUCUAAUUAUCAAUUAUUUAGUUGGGGCGACUCAAAGACAUAAACACUUUUCAAUACUUAGAGCUUAUUGCUCCCCAUCCUUAUCCCAACACAAUCAAGCAAGUUACUAUAGGGAUAACAGGCUAAUAUUUUCCACGAGCACGUAUCAACGAAAAUGCUUGGCACCUCGAUGUUGGCUUAGGGAAUCUAUCUCACGCAGAAGUAAGAUCAGAAGGUUUGUUCAACCAUUAAUCCCCUA
rnacentral:rRNA from 1 species